rnacentral:rRNA from 1 species
UACGUAGGCAGCGAGCGUUGUUCGGAAUUAUUGGGCGUAAAGAGCUCGUAGGUGGUUUGUCGCGUUGUUCGUGAAAACCGGGGGCUUAACCCUCGGCGUGCGGGCGAUACGGGCAGACUGGAGUACUGCAGGGGAGACUGGAAUUCCUGGUGUAGCGGUGGAAUGCGCAGAUAUCAGGAAGAACACCCGUGGCGAAGGCGGCUCUCUGGGACGGUACUGACGCUGAGGAGCGAAAGCGUGGGGAGCGAACAGG